rnacentral:rRNA from 1 species
GACGAACGCUGGCGGCGUGCCUAAUACAUGCAAGUGGGACGCAAGGGAACACACUGUGCUUGCACACCGUGUUUUCUUGAGUCGCGAACGGGUGAGUAACGCGUAGGUAACCUGCCUAUUAGCGGGGGAUAACUAUUGGAAACGAUAGCUAAUACCGCAUAAUAUUAAUUAUUGCAUGAUAAUUGAUUGAAAGAUGCAAGCGCAUCACUAGUAGAUGGACCUGCGUUGUAUUAGCUAGUUGGUAAGGUAAGAGCUUACCAAGGCGACGAUACAUAGCCGACCUGAGAGGGUGAUCGGCCACACUGGGACUGAGACACGGCCCGGACUCCUACGGGAGGCAGCAGUAGGGAAUCUUCGGCAAUGGACGAAAGUCUGACCGAGCAACGCCGCGUGAGUGAAGAAGGUUUUCGGAUCAUAAAGCUCUGUUGUAAGUCAAGAACGUGUGUGAGAGUGGAAAGUUCACACAGG